rnacentral:piRNA from 1 species
UGUUGCUACAACUGUGCUUUA